rnacentral:rRNA from 1 species
UUUCAUACGGGGGGCAGCAGUCGAGAAUCAUUCACAAUGGGGGAAACCCUGAUGGUGCGACGCCGCGUGGGGGAAUGAAGGUCUUCGGAUUGUAAACCCCUGUCAUGUGGGAGCAAAUUAGAAAGAUAGUACCACAAGAGGAAGAGACGGCUAACUCUGUGCCAGCAGCCGCGGUAAUACAGAGGUCUCAAGCGUUGUUCGGAAUCACUGGGCGUAAGGCGUGCGUAGGUUGUUUCGUAAGUCGCGUGUGAAAGGCGCGGGCUCAACCCUCGGACG